rnacentral:lncRNA from 1 species
GGUUUAAUUUGGAAAAACUCAGGGACUCUUUACGAAAAUACACCCCGAAGGGGUAUCUUCUAAUCAGCGCCCUAGAUCUUCAGAUGGACGGCCCAAACGCGUCAGGGGGUGACGGGCGGCGGCCGGCCGGCGCUCUGGCCUCCGGCGCGGUGGCGCCAUGGGCGACCUCGUCGGAGUUCGUCCAAAACGUGAUUCGAUGCACCAUUCUUCGAAAGAAAAACGCCAGGUGGACGGGAAGCUUACGUUGAGCUCACCUGCGCGCCUGAAUCGGCCCGAAAGAGGACAGGGAAGGCCCGCCGCGGUGAGGACUUUCGGCGAGAUCCAAAAUUCCAAAACAAGGACGGCUAGGGCUCGAUUUCGCAAUUUGGAUGCAAAAGGGGGAGCAGCGGGGUUGACCUAGGGCUUUAUAGGAGUUUGUUUCGCGUAAAACGGCAAGAAAAUCGAGGAAUAAACGGACUCGAUCUUCUCCUGGGAGUCCUGCUCGUCCACGACGGGGAGGAAGAAGCAAGAACACGCUGACGUGUGGGCCCCAGAGAUCAGUGAGCCAAGGAAGAGAAGAGAGGAGGGGCGCGCUGCGGGCCUGGAAAGGAGUGGGCCGGGGUGGGGAAACUGGGCCGCGCGGGAAAGGGGAGUGCUGGGCCUUCGGGCCAGAAUGAGUGGGGGAAGAGGAGAAAGGUUUUGUUGUUUUUUUUUCUAUUUUCCUUUCUUUUAUUCCAAAGCCAUUUCAAGUCCCUUUUAAAAAUCAGUUUUGAAAUACUUUUGAACUUUACUCAAAGUUACACAGUACAAAAAUAUAAAUGCUCCAGCAUGAGUGCACAUACAUGUUACUAAACCCUAUGAUAAGUUUUAAUUUACUGAAAAAUAUUAUUCCCCUAUGUUUUAUGAGCACAAAAAUUCAAAAUUAAAUUAUUUUUCAUCUAUUUCUAAAAGAACAAAAAUUUAGGGUGUUACAAAUCUACCCCCCUUAAAAUGAAUCUCGUCCUCGAGAUUCGGAAGAGACACGGAUUCCAAAAGAGAAACAAGAACAAGAUCUGGAUAUCUAUUUCAACUUCACAACUUGUAUUCCAAAAGCAACACUCAUGUCUUGAGAUCACAACUUGUGAACAAAACUUCCAUAAAAUGUCUAUUAUUCAUAGCUGAUUAAAAUCCAUCUUGACUACCAACUUUUUGACUUAUACAACUCAAAGGCAUGAUAACUUAGCAUGGGUAUGCCUCCUCAGGUAGGAGUGGACCACCUUGAUACUCAAUUCUUUUCCCUGAUGGUGCGGUUAAGAAAAUUUUCCACUGGGUAGCAUAGAUCACUGCCUUGUGUGCACAUAACCAUCCAUUGCCAAGAACCAAAGGAAUAUUGAGUGACUCUAGCACAAUGAGGUUUACAGUGAAGUUUUCCUUCUUUAUGACAAGGUUGAUAUUUGAGCAAACCUGAUCUGCCUGUAUUUCUCCCAUUGGGGUUUGAACUAACAAAGGCUUUCUCGUCGGACACUUCACCCGUUCGAUUGUCUUUACCAAGUCAGCGGAUAUGAAAGAAUGUGAAGCACUUCGGUCAAACAGAGCAAAAACUAGUACUGAGUCCACUUGAAUAUAGCCUCCCACCACUUUGGUGGCUCCUUGAAUGUUAUGCAUAUCCACAUUGUUCAGUCUUCCAUUGAUAUAAUUUCGCUGUACUUUAUUUCCAGGAGCGGGCUUCUUACGAGCUUUCCUUUUACGCUUCCGUCGUUGUGGAUUUUGAUUUGAUUCGUUGUCAACUUGCUCUUCCAUAUUAUUAUUUUGAUAACACUCAGCUUUGUCAUGCUCAUAGCAUCUUUCUUCAAAAUCAAGAUGAUCAUAUUCUUCCCACCUAUCCAUGAGAGGUGUCAUAUUGUGCUCCGGAUUCAUGGGACACUACACUCCCUGUCAUCAAGUGACCAACGUCAGUAACACGGCAAGGAUAGAUGAUCAUAACCAUAGAAUAUCUUAGAAGACAAUUAUCACUCCAAGCUAGUCUUAAAAUGCAUCACUCGUGAUAUCAAGGUACUACCCCCCUUAAAAUUAGAUUGAUUGGGGACACUAGGGACUAGUUCUCCUAUCCUUUUUGGACGCCACACAUCAUAGUCUUUUACAUUCGUGGUACCGAGUCUCUUGUUCCAAAAUUAUCCAAUUCUUCUCCAUGUAACCCCUUUAUUUAGGCUACCCCCCUUAAUAAAGGUCAUCUAGGGGACACAAGAAAGGUAGCUAGCAUGUUUUCCAGACAAGUUAACUAACAUUGAGAACUUAUGACAUCCCAAAGAGCUUCUGUGCAAGAGAACAAACAUGUAUCCUGAAAUUUUCCCGCGAUAUGAAAAACACCAGCAUAGAAAAACAGGUAUAACUCCCCUUCUGUUAAUCCAAUAGAGUUGUAGCUUAUACCGUUAGAAAGAUUAUGAAAUUCCCUACAACUUUCCUGUAGAAGACGUCCUUAGGUUCUGUAUUUAGGCUCAGGUAAAACAGCCAAACAUAAUAUCCUUCCUGAUAAUAUCUCAGCAAAGAUGCAGUAAAUUCCAGAAAUUAUACCUCGAGCUACUUAACUCAUAUGGAGAUGAUCCUUACAUUGUUGAAAAGCUUAUGAAAUCCUUUACAACUUUCGUAUACAACUUUUCCCCAGAUUCUGUCUUUAAGCUUGGCUGAGAAUAGGAAUUGCCAGAUCUAUCCAGAUUUUGAAACAGAACAGAAACAUCCAAUUGUAAAUAUCAUAUCUCAGGUUCUACUUAUCCAAAUAAGUUCCAGCUUAUACCGUUGGAAAGAAUAGAAAAUUGUCUACAACUUUUCUAUAGAAUACUCUUCCAAAUUCUAUAGUUAUAUAUGUCUAAAACAGUAAGCAACCGAAACUGGUCCAGGUUCUUGACAGCACAGUUGUAUCCUGUUGUGAUUUUUGUAACUUCCAAACCAUAACAGCUAUGAGGGUGAUUCUUGUGGUCAGAGAAAGAUCUUGGAGUCUAGUUGUUUCCAGAAAAGUUUAGUAAACUUUGCACGACCAGAUCUUGAUAUACACUAUGAUUAUUGCAGACUGCUCCAGAAAUCAGCAAAAGACAGAAACAGGAUAUAACCAAACCCAACUAUUUAUGUCAUUACUCCGUAUGCCUUAGUUCUAUAAACUAAAUGAAAUUGUGAAGAACUUCACAAAAUCUUUACACUCAUUACAAAGAUCCAAAUCAAACAUAAACAUAAUAACAAGCAAUUAAGCAUUAAAGGUUCACAAGGCACACAAACUCAACUUUCGCUACUAGCGUUUUUAUUACACCAGGGGACACGGACACCUAUAUCUUAGACUUAGUGUGGUUAUCUUCACGAUGCAUCUGUUGCUUCUUUUGUGGACAAGAGCUUAUAUAAUGUCCUUCUUGUUGGCAGUGAUAACACCUUCUCUUAGCUGGUUCCUCUGUGAUGUUAUUUUCCACUGAAGUGUUGUUCGGUGUGUUAUCAACUUGCAUACUCUGAUGGUUUAUCUUUGCCUGGUUAGAUUUCUUUCUACAUUGCUUGAUCCUCCGAGGUUGAAACUCUCUAUAAGUAAUUGUCCACCCAUCUAUGCAUACCUCAUGAGCAGUGGGAUUAGCUUGGGGAAUUUGUUCAUCUCCAAGGUUUGAGUUUUCCUGACGAGAAUUUGAAGCUACAUGUGACAUCUUGGGAUUUGGGUGUUGAUCACUUCCCAAUCUCGGCUCUAGUGCUUUUGCCUUCCUCUUCUUAUCCUCAUUAGUCACACAGGUUGGUUUUGUCUUAACUUCCUUCUUAGAUGACAUAUUCCGAAGACAAGGAAGACCAUAAUGCUCACAACAGUGGCAUUGAUCCUGAUAUCCUGAUGUAUUACUCCCAACGCUUCCACGAUUUCUCAUAUUUUUCCAAGCUUCUGCUACUUGUCUCCUCACGGGUCCUGAGAUACGUUGUUGAGAGUUCUUAUUCUGAGUUAUUCCUUCCACUACUUGUGUUUGCAUGGCUAGAAGCUUCUCCAUGUCGAAUGCUUUUACGGUUGGAAAAUCUGGGUGCUUUUGUUCCUUCUUGUCAAAGGUCUCCUCGUUAUGAUCCAUCUAAAGAGACAAAGAGAGAGGAUUUAGAAUAGAGACAAGAUUUUAUAAAAGAACUAGGCAAGAGGUAAGCAUAACUUUUAGCAACCAUCAAGGUCAAGGCGAAAAGCAAGAAGUAAGCAAAGAUAGAAGCAUGCCAAAACGUCCAGUUCUAACUAGGCUUGCGUCCUACAGUCAGCAUUGCUUUGAUACCACUUUGUAAUACCCGAUUUUAAGGAUAAAACCAGAUAUGCACCAUAUGUGAGUCUUAGAAGUCAAAUCUCACAUAUAGAUACAAAUAAGAGGUAAUAUCAAAAGACAAUGCAUAAAUAUAUAACGUACUUAGUAUAAAAGAGAUAACCUUUAAUAACAAACAGCGGAUAGACAACUCCAAACUUCGGGUAUUAACUUCUCUCUACAGGAUCCAACUGACUGGUUGAUCACAAGCCUAACACAUCUCCUGAAGUGUGGGGGAAAUAGCAAGAGUGAGUCCAUGUCGAACUCCACAAGUAUAGCAGCUAGAUUGUAUAGCUCUCACAAUCUCAUGAUCAAUGUGACAUAAAUAAUGUAAAGCAUUAAAUAAUAAAUAAUGGGCAUAUUUAACACACGAGAAUCAUCAUCGUCGCAGCAAGAAUCCCCAAGGCCGCUCCUGACCGUGAGCUCGGCUAGUAUACUAGUUUUUAACCCUCUGCAGAGGUUGCACAUCUUUACCCAUGAGUCAUGAUUUACCCUUUCGCCCGAGGUAGCUAGUCUCUUAACCCCCUUCCUAGGGAGGUCGGCAGGGAUCACUAUGAAGUCUUUCAAAGGUUCGUCUAACAAGUUAGGGCCGCUUGGUUUCAUUAGUCAGUCCAUAUGAUUCACCCGCAGGAAUCCACGGUCUGCUAUUCCCCAAUUGCGCCACAACGGGUAACCGCUAACGAGCUAGAAAAGUUACUCAUACUUAACUAAAGCCAGAGCCAUUAUAGCCCUCAUGGUUGCACUGUUGUCCCGGUUAUCACUUACAGAUAAAUCAUCAAGUGGCUAAAAAGUCAUUUUUAUCAUUUAUUACUUAACAUUAAUCUAGUCACAGGAUCAUGGUCACAGAAAUAAAAUCCAAAUGCUAUACUUGCCUUAAUCCAAAUGCUCUUGCUUAUCCUUUUGGUUCUGCUGGUCUCACUUGUUGCCAAAGCUUUGAUCUUGAUCACCCAAAACUGCUCUCCGUCUAAACUCGAUCAUCGAUCACACAAACAAUCGGAGAAAGCAUACACGAGCAAACAAAGCUACAAUUAGAACAGUACACCAAUCAUAUAAAAACUGUAUGAAAAGUUUAUAAAAUGAUUCUACGCAUCGCUACGAUUUCACAGGCGUAAAGAGCACGAAAAACGGAGUUAAAACGGAGAAGUUAUGAUUUUUCUAAGAUUUUCUGUGGAUGAAUAAUGAAUUUAAUAGUACCAGGAAAUUAAAAAGUUUCAAAACAGUAAACUAAUGUUUCUAACAUGUAGAGCAUGUAACUACGGACCUAACGAAAUUUGAAUGGAUUAAAACGGAGUUAAAAUGAAUAUUUUAUGAGCAUUACAAAAUCAAUGGCAAUCUUGUAAAUAGUGAAAACGUAUUUAGAACUGAGCCGGGAGAAAAUACGUUUUCAAAACCCAGAAAACGUAAACCUGAUAUGGCGCUUUGGAUCGCGGGUUUAAUUUGGAAAAACUCAGGGACUCUUUACGAAAAUACACCCCGAAGGGGUAUCUUCUAAUCAGCGCCCUAGAUCUUCAGAUGGACGGCCCAAACGCGUCAGGGGGUGACGGGCGGCGGCCGGCCGGCGCUCUGGCCUCCGGCGCGGUGGCGCCAUGGGCGACCUCGUCGGAGUUCGUCCAAAACGUGAUUCGAUGCACCAUUCUUCGAAAGAAAAACGCCAGGUGGACGGGAAGCUUACGUUGAGCUCACCUGCGCGCCUGAAUCGGCCCGAAAGAGGACAGGGAAGGCCCGCCGCGGUGAGGACUUUCGGCGAGAUCCAAAAUUCCAAAACAAGGACGGCUAGGGCUCGAUUUCGCAAUUUGGAUGCAAAAGGGGGAGCAGCGGGGUUGACCUAGGGCUUUAUAGGAGUUUGUUUCGCGUAAAACGGCAAGAAAAUCGAGGAAUAAACGGACUCGAUCUUCUCCUGGGAGUCCUGCUCGUCCACGACGGGGAGGAAGAAGCAAGAACACGCUGACGUGUGGGCCCCAGAGAUCAGUGAGCCAAGGAAGAGAAGAGAGGAGGGGCGCGCUGCGGGCCUGGAAAGGAGUGGGCCGGGGUGGGGAAACUGGGCCGCGCGGGAAAGGGGAGUGCUGGGCCUUCGGGCCAGAAUGAGUGGGGGAAGAGGAGAAAGGUUUUGUUGUUUUUUUUUUCUAUUUUCCUUUCUUUUAUUCCAAAGCCAUUUCAAGUCCCUUUUAAAAAUCAGUUUUGAAAUACUUUUGAACUUUACUCAAAGUUACACAGUACAAAAAUAUAAAUGCUCCAGCAUGAGUGCACAUACAUGUUACUAAACCCUAUGAUAAGUUUUAAUUUACUGAAAAAUAUUAUUCCCCUAUGUUUUAUGAGCACAAAAAUUCAAAAUUAAAUUAUUUUUCAUCUAUUUCUAAAAGAACAAAAAUUUAGGGUGUUACAAAUGUUUUCAGUUCUUAGUUUUUCAAAUGCAAAAUUUGAAAUUUCCAAACUACUUUUGAAUAUUCACAUGGUUGUAUUGGCCAACUCGUUCUACAUGUUGUAGUUGAUAAGUUUUUUAUUAGAAGUUGUUAAGGUAUCAAAUAAUAGUUGCAUUGCAUGACAUGAUUUAAACUUUGAGAUCAUUUAGUGGCCAAAAUAUUCAAUAUAGGGUUACAAAAUAUUAAUAAAAAAGAUAUUGUCCGGAAGAAUUAGCUCCAUCAAUACCUAGCAGCUAUUCGUGUAAGUUGAAUCAGAUGGGUAACACACAAGACACUGAGAUUAUAUUGGUUUGGCACGUGGUCCCAUACGUCUAGUUUGAAUUAUUUUUGCUCUAUAUUUGUAUGCUCGGUUAUAUAGGAGUUGUGUUUAGCUAUGCGCUAGAAUGUAGAAGAUAGGAUCCCUCUCAGGAGGUCCCUACCCUUCUUUAUAUAGACCAGGGAUAGGGUUACAAUAGACCUGAUUGACUAACAUAUUGAUUUUCUAGUAUAUGUUAUAUGGAAUGCGCAAUAUAAUGAUUCUAUUCUAUAGUGUGG